CAACAUAGCUGUUUAUAGUAGGGGUACGGCACUGCGCAUGCGCAGUACCGUGGCCCCCAGGCGCUCGACGGUACUCUCCUCGCCCUCAUAAUUAGGCGGGGUUUGCUUUACACUACCCGUCGCCAGGAGCCUCACAGAGCCGAGCCAGGUAUAUGCCAUCUGAGCAUGCUCGGCCUUCUGGUUAUAAGAGCCGCACGCUCGGAUGAGCUAGGCUGUUCGCUCUCGUAAGCUGCGCAGUUCGUACAUCAUGCAGCGAAUAAAAGCCAAGAGCCUUACUGACCGAGCGUACCGCAAGGCUCAGAGAAGAGCGGAGCGGCGGGCAGCCCAGCCGAGACGUGCAAGGCCCUCCAGAUCCACGACUGCAAGCUGGGUGGCGCACUGCGCUUCAUUGCUUUAUUGGAUGACCAUGCCCAUGCGCCUCUGCUAUCUUGCGCUGACGGUGCCAUUCCGCAUCAUCUCGUACGUGGUGCAGACCCUCGCGGCCGUACUUGCAUCCUACCCCCAUUCGUAGGAGAACCAGUGCAUUGAUGACGGCAUUGUUUUUAGUGACCCCGCCUACACCUGGUGCCGAAACGACCGAAGAUAUGGAGAGGGCCCAACGGACCUAAAAAGGACUCUAAAAGGACGAAUUGCAACUUUUUUAGCAAGCACAAAUCGUGCAUUCUUUUAAGCUCUGUACAUUGGCAUCGCGUUACGAAGUCUAUCCAUGUUGUAGACAUGACGCAAUAAACGUAAUUUCGUUGCGAUUUUUAUAAGCGCUAGCGUUUGCUUGCGUACUUUCACCCGGAAUCUUGUCUGAUGGGCUAUCCUGCCUUGCAGCGUUGUACUAACGCAAAGUAGCAUUAAUAAAAACAUUUAAUUUUUUAUUACACAA